AUUAAGUUUCUAUUGUAACAAAUUAAUACAAACAGUGUCUUAAAACAACACAAAUUUAUUCUGUUACAGUUCUGGAGGUUAAAAAUUCUAAAUCAGUUUCACUGGGCUAAGAUCAAUGUAUUAUAAGGACUGCAUUCUUUCUGAAGGUUCUAGGGGAGAAUCUAUUUCUUGUCUUUUCCAGCUGCUAGAGUCUGGCUAUAUUUCUUGGUUUGUAGCCCCUUUACAAGCAACGGCAUCAGUCUGACCUCUGCUUCCAUUAUUACAUCUCUUUCUGUGACCCUGACCUUCCUAUUCCCUCUUGUAACCCUUGUGAUUACAUUCGACUUCCCCACAUAAUCCAGCAUGAUCUCUCCAUCUCAAGAUCCUUAAUUUAAUAAGAGUCACUUUCCACCAAUUGACGUUUCUCUUCAUAAUGGAUCACAUUUUAUGCUACUUUGCAUUGCAGACUGCUACACUGCCCUGCAAAACUUAGCCACUUCAGACUUCCUGGACUUCCAGCUCCAUACUCUCAACUCAACAAUCUCCAAGUUCUGCCCAGCUUCUCCCUUUAUUCUCAGUGGCCUGAAAACUCUCUGAAGGGUGCUGUCGAAAAAAACCACCAGAUGUCGAAUAGAAGCGAGGCAAGAUUUUAUUCACGGCCAGGCCAAACCUGAUCUGAUCUUAGGGAGAAAAGUGCAGAGAACGCCCCGAACAAAGGUAGCAGUGAGCUUGUAUGGAUUUUAGCAAGUCAGAAUAUGUCAUUAUUUAGUUAACCAAUUACAAUUUACAGCAUUUCAUGGUAGCCAAUUAUAUUGUGACACACAGAUGUUAGUUUUGGCGG